rnacentral:hammerhead_ribozyme from 1 species
AUUCAACUGACGAGUCCCAAAUAGGAGGAAACGCGCAUCAAACUGGAU